CACGUAGGGGGCGAGCGUUGUCCGGAAUCAUUGGGCGUAAAGAGCUCGUAGGCGGCUCAGUAAGUCGGGUGUGAAACCCCCAGGCUCAACCUGGGGACGCCACCCGAUACUGCUGUGGCUAGAGUCCAGUAGGGGAGUGUGGAAUUCCCGGUGUAGCGGUGAAAUGCGCAGAUAUCGGGAGGAACACCGAUGGCGAAGGCAGAUCUCUGGUCGGAUCCUGACGCUGAGGUGCGAAAGCUAGGGGAGCAAACGGG
rnacentral:rRNA from 1 species